GGGGAUUUAGCUCAGUGGCAUAAGUACCUGCCUUGCAAGCAGGCAGUCAGCGGUCAUGAGUUCAAUCCCUG
rnacentral:tRNA from 1 species